rnacentral:lncRNA from 1 species
AUAUUUCUGAGGCAUGCCUGUACUGCCCUCUCCCAAGAAUGCCUACGUGACCAGCCCUCAGACUGGAUCUUCUGCCUCCAAAUUAUCACCUACUUACCUGACCAUUGUCUCAACUACAGCUGAUGGGAUCCAUGACAGAAGCUUAACCAAAACUAGCCCAUGAGAUUGUUUUUCUCAGGAAUGUAGAAAUGAGGCAGAGGUUAGCCACUGUCCGUGUGCUCUGGAGCUAAACGCAUGUAAGUGUAAGGGUUCUCUUCUGUCCUAAGCUGACACAGGCUGCAGAGAAAAGUGGUUGAUGCUGCCAGUCAGAGAGAAGCAGAUGAAGGAGCCAUGCAGCCUGGAAGGCGAGAGGAGGGCCAAGAAAAUGAGCUUGGUUUCCAACGGGUUCCGCAAUUGCUAUUUUCGGUGGCUGCUGAGCCCAGGUGCUGUUUCUUCACUUGAGCUCCAUGACCCUCCCUGUGUGGUGGGUUGAACGGUGACCUCCAAAAGAUAUGUCCACCUGGAACCUCAGAAUAAGAUCUUAUUUGGAAUAGUCUUUGUAGAUGUCAGUAAGGUAAAGAUUUGGAGAUGAGACCCUCCUGGAUUAGGGUAGGCCCUAGGUCCACUGGCAGGUGUGCUUCUCAGGGUCUGAAAGGGGAAGACAGGGCCACCCAGAGGAGGAGACGGAGGCAGAGACAGGGCCACCCAGAGGAG